GGGGGAUCGAGGCUCUCUUCAGAUGAGAGACACGUGAUGGAAUCGGAUGUGUAGGCAACAGCUGGGUUAGACGGAACGGCUGCCAGCACGGGCUCAGCCGCCAACGUGGGGGCAGUCGGCGCCGCGGGAGGAUCAUCUCCAGGAGACCAUCCCCCUGUUUCCACAGUCAUCGUGGCUGUGUCCACGCGGCUCGGUGUCCGGGCUCUCUCCGGGACCUGAACCGGUGGUGGAGAGUGAGCCGGUGUUUCCGGUACGGCAGGUGGAGAGGAGCCACGGGCCCCCACCAGGGCCUCCCCUCUUGUUUUAAGGAGGUCGGGGAGGCGGUGGGCUGUCAGGCCCCCUCUCCUUCUCUCUCUCCAUCGUGGGCUCGAGCUCGGCGACCAUAAAGGCCUCUACCUGCUCCAGGGUUUCAGACCGGAGCCGUCUCCCCAGGUUCCUCUUUGCCCAAACGGUGGCGAUUUGGAAGGGGCCUCGCCACUCUCCCUUUGAGAGCCCCUUUAAGUGUUUCACAGGUUGUUUUUUGGGGGCCAUGUGGCCCCCUGGUACGAAAAAUUGUGGCCUAUAGCCAUGCUCCACAUGGUGGUGGUAGCGUUGAGGGUAGCCGCCCUGACGUCCGUG